GGGGGCGAUAGGUUUCGACAGGGAUAAGAGAGGUAAGAACAGCGAGUCGAGGUUCCAUGUCCUCGUAAUACCGUGGAAAAUCAUUAAUUGCUAACGAUAAACAAUUAGCAUUUGCAGCCUAAUUAGGCUGCACGUCUGUACUGGUCUUGUGUCUACGAGACUUUUACGGGUGUAACCUA
rnacentral:tmRNA from 1 species